rnacentral:miRNA from 1 species
UGACUAUUUACAAAUGUCUGCAGAUGUCUAUGGGGACAGUAUGUUUUUUUGUUUACGUAGGGAUCAGUUAUUUGCUAGGCAUUUUUGGAAUAGAGG